GGAGCGCGCGGCGCCCUGGCUCUUAUAAAAUGCCCUCGUUGAGUAAUCGUCUCUCUCUUGCAUAAGCGUUUGGUUUCGGGAGGUUUUAGCCAAUCGAUGGCUGCAGCCCACGGACAAAAAGCGAGUCUAACCACCGUGGGUUUUUAUUUUUUUUUUUAUUUUUUAAUAAUGCGUGGUUAUUAAUCCGCUGCAAGUUGUAUAAAAUCUCUUUAGAUAAGCUUUGAGCGGCAGAGACUCCAGCUCUGAUAGCUGAACUGCAGCUGUGAGACGCUGCCAAAAAUCCCCGCGCUGGGAGGAUCGCUAACUGUCCGAAGAACAUUAAAGACAAAUUUGACCAGACGGUGAGAUCAAAGGACCAUCUAGCCUCACAUUCUUCCUUGGCUUAGCCAACAGCAGAUGCUAAAAGAAUAAAAUGGACUCUACACAUAAGAAGCUGAAGAUUUUUGUGAUGGUCCUGUCUCUGGCUACUUUCACAGUCAUGGUGAUACUGAACGCUGGCAACGCCACUGGACUGUUCAAAGGUCUGUUCCGGAGCACCCCGGGAAACAUCUCGGAGAAGUACAACACUGACUUUACCCCAGCUGGCUGGACUUUCCUC